rnacentral:rRNA from 1 species
GCGGCGUGCCUAAUACAUGCAAGUAGAACGCUGAAGGAGGAGCUUGCUUCUCUGGAUGAGUUGCGAACGGGUGAGUAACGCGUAGGUAACCUGCCUGGUAGCGGGGGAUAACUAUUGGAAACGAUAGCUAAUACCGCAUAAGAGUAGAUGUCGCAUGACAUUUGCUUAAAAGGUGCAAUUGCAUCACUACCAGAUGGACCUGCGUUGUAUUAGCUAGUUGGUGGGGUAACGGCUCACCAAGGCGACGAUACAUAGCCGACCUGAGAGGGUGAUCGGCCACACUGGGACUGAGACACGGCCCAGACUCCUACGGGAGGCAGCAGUAGGGAAUCUUCGGCAAUGGACGGAAGUCUGACCGAGCAACGCCGCGUGAGUGAAGAAGGUUUUCGGAUCGUAAAGCUCUGUUGUAAGAGAAGAAUGAGUGUGAGAGUGGGAAGUUCACACU